rnacentral:rRNA from 1 species
UACGGAGGAUGCAAGCGUUAUCCGGAAUGAUUGGGCGUAAAGCGUCCGCAGGUGGCUGUGUAAGUCUGCUGUUAAAUAGUGAGGCUCAACCUCAUAAAGGCAGUGGAAACUACACGGCUAGAGUGCGUUCGGGGCAGAGGGAAUUCCCAGUGUAGUGGUGAAAUACGUAGAGAUUGGGAAGAACACCAGUGGCGAAGGCGGCUAUCUGGACGGUUACUGACGCUAAGACGCGAAAGCGUGGGGAGCAAACAGG